UGGAAAUGGCUCCUACUUAGUGGUCCUACCC
rnacentral:piRNA from 1 species